UAGGGAAUCUUCGGCAAUGGGGGCAACCCUGACCGAGCAACGCCGCGUGAGUGAAGAAGGUUUUCGGAUCGUAAAGCUCUGUUGUAAGAGAAGAACGUGUGUGAGAGUGGAAAGUUCACACAGUGACGGUAACUUACCAGAAAGGGACGGCUAACUACGUGCCAGCAGCCGCGGUAAUACGUAGGUCCCGAGCGUUGUCCGGAUUUAUUGGGCGUAAAGCGAGCGCAGGCGGUUUAAUAAGUCUGAAGUUAAAGGCAGUGGCUUAACCAUUGUUCGCUUUGGAAACUGUUAAACUUGAGUGCAGAAGGGGAGAGUGGAAUUCCAUGUGUAGCGGUGAAAUGCGUAGAUAUAUGGAGGAACACCGGUGGCGAAAGCGGCUCUCUGGUCUGUAACUGACGCUGAGGCUCGAAAGCGUGGGAGCAAACAGG
rnacentral:rRNA from 1 species